GACUGCACGGAGAUGUGUGGGUCUUCAUGGGAACAGCAAGGAACCGGAAUCUGCAUUUCCUGGAAUGCCUCGGAACUCUAUUAGCUGAUUGGUAAUUGUCUGCCCAACAGAUGAAGAUGUCUUCCACAUUUCCAGUUGAUGAUUUCCCUGCUGGGACGGCAUCAGCUUUUCAGUCUUCCAGAAGCUCCUGUCACCGUCCAAGGUCGUCACAGGCAAUGUGUGAUUUGUGGCACUGAGUCUCUCUGUAGUUCAUUCAAUGACCUCAGCUCAGCGAUCCCAUCCACUCCGCUCCUUUGGGCCAUUCUACUGUCAGGCCAAUGAAAGCUUCUUAUUUAUGCGAUUUGUGUUCUUGCCAGGCCAUUUCUAGCCUCGUGCCCCUUUGUGGCCUUUUUGAGUAUUGCAGUGAUUUCACUGUGUGCAUCCAAGUUAUUUCAAUUAAAUUGGUUUCAGUUUCGCAAUCAAUUCAUGU